rnacentral:rRNA from 1 species
AUUGAACGCUGGCGGCAUGCCUUACACAUGCAAGUCGAACGGUAACAGGUCUUCGGAUGCUGACGAGUGGCGAACGGGUGAGUAAUACAUCGGAACGUGCCCAGACGUGGGGGAUAACGAGGCGAAAGCUUUGCUAAUACCGCAUACGAUCUAAGGAUGAAAGCAGGGGACCGCAAGGCCUUGCGCGUUUGGAGCGGCCGAUGGCAGAUUAGGUAGUUGGUGGGAUAAAAGCUUACCAAGCCGACGAUCUGUAGCUGGUCUGAGAGGACGACCAGCCACACUGGGACUGAGACACGGCCCAGACUCCUACGGGAGGCAGCAGUGGGGAAUUUUGGACAAUGGGCGAAAGCCUGAUCCAGCAAUGCCGCGUGCAGGAUGAAGGCCUUCGGGUUGUAAACUGCUUUUGUACGGAACGAAAAGGCUCUGGCUAAUACCUGGGGCACAUGACGUUACCGUAAGAAUAAGCACCGGCUAACUACGUG